UCCCGCGCCGCGCCUCAUACCACUCAGGCGAGUUCUGCUCGCAGUUGAGAAUUUGCACGGUCAUUUGCCCCUCCGCUUAUCGUUGAGCGCCUUGAUUGCUUGCGCGUAAUGCUUGACGGGGAUCUCCGACAAGCUGCCGACGUUCAGCCAAUCCAAGAACUUCGUCUUGUCGGCCUUAACCUCGUCCAACAGUGCCUGGAGGUCGGCAACCUGAUCCGAGGUAAUCAAAGGCCCCGCGCCAGCGCGGUUGCCGUCGUCAUCCUCGCCAACGGCGAUAUUGAAAAUCAUCUUGAUGAGGUAUCGCUGGCCGUAGGUGAACGCCGACCCGGCUGCAUGGGUCUUGGUCAUCAC
rnacentral:misc_RNA from 1 species